GUGUGUGUGUGUGUGUGUAUGAAAAAGAAAAAAAGGGAUUAAAAAAUCCAGGCAGAUAUCAAUAAAACACUCAGUUUUAAACAAAUUUUGUUACCUAUAUCCAACAAUCAGACACUAGUAAAUGUAAGUAGAAUACACAACCAAGGUAAUUCUUCA